rnacentral:rRNA from 1 species
UACGUAGGGGGCUAGCGUUGUCCGGAAUCAUUGGGCGUAAAGAGCGUGUAGGCGGCCCGGUAAGUCCGCUGUAAAAGUCAAAGGCUCAACCUUUGAAUGUCAGUGGAUACUGCCGGGCUAGAGUCCGGAAGAGGCGAGUGGAACUCCUGGUGUAGCGGUGGAAUGCGCAGAUAUCAGGAAGAACACCGAUGGCGAAGGCAGGUCUCUGGGCAUUAACUGACGCUGAGGAGCGAAAGCAUGGGGAGCGAACAGG